GAUGAAGAACGUAGCGAAAUGCGAUACGUAAUGUGAAUUGCAGAAUUCAGUGAAUCAUCGAGUCUUUGAACGCACAUUGCGCCCCCUGGUAUUCCGGGGGGCAUGCCUGUCCGAGCGUCAUUGCUGCCCUCAAGCACGGCUUGUGUGUUGGGCCUCCGUCCUCCUCCCGGGGGACGGGCCCGAAAGGCAGCGGCGGCACCGCGUCCGGUCCUCGAGCGUAUGGGGCUUCGUCACCCGCUCUUGUAGGCCCGGCCGGCGCUUGCCGACACAUCAAUCUUUUUUCCAGGUUGACCUCGGAUCAGGUAGGGAUACCCGCUGAACUUAAGCAUAUCAAAAGCGGAGA
rnacentral:misc_RNA from 1 species